AGAACUUUACUGAAAUGAACACUACUCGACCUUUCAGACAAACAUCCCCCCCAAGAAAAAAAAUAUUUUAUUUUCCAAACACAACAAUUAUCAAGAUGGAAAAGUUGCCUUGAAAACAAUAUUUUUGUGUUAUUCAUUGCAGUACUGUCCUAUUUUUGUAGAUUUGUAGUUGUAAAGGAUAUUUUAAAGUCUACUUCAUUUAAACAAGGCAUUAUGAGAUCUGAAGAUUGUUAGCAAUGUAUAAUUAAGCUUCUCUAAACAAGAGUUCAAUUUAACCUACGUGGCUUCAAACAGUGUAAUACAUACAAACUUCAUACAGAGUCACAGUUCCAGACACUAAAAUGAUCUGGUCAAAUGUUGUACCAGUAAGACGCUCAAAAUGAUCAUUGGAGUAAUUUCAUACCGAUAUUUUCUACUGUGUAAACGGAACGUGGUUCACAAAUGUCAACUUUGGAAGUUGCUGACCUGUCAUGUGUCCAACUACAGGAGGAUUUCAUAAGAUGAUAGUUUGUUCAUGACCUUUGGAGAAAAAAAAUAUGCAACCAGUCUUCAUGUGCAGCUCUAAUACAGGAAGCUAUGCUUCACACCUUAUGCUGCAUGCAUUUGAGAUAUCAUCUGCAGCUUUGUAAUCUACCAAUGUGGUAUUGGGCCGCAAUGUAUAUGCGUAUAUGCUCAAAAGCCAAUCAGUGCCGACUGAUCUGCAUUUAAGGAAAUGUGUGGGUUGACGCGGUGGAUACAAUAAAUUUAAGAUUCUUCAGGUGAACGCGCUUUACAUGAUGAGUGCAAGCGAAUGGAAUUCACAUUUGGAAAUUCGCCCCUGUACCAUUACUGCCAUGGCAACCAAAGUGAGGAGCUGACUUGGGAGGGAGGCUUGGAUGUCAACAUCAAGUCACUGUGAUCUGAAAGAUGUACACAGAACCACUGAGUAUCGAGCAAAACUCUGGUUGGACACGUGCUUCGUGGGGAUCGCACUGCGGCCACUUCAUGGAUGGCAAGUUUGACUGCUACGCACGCGGCUUAUCCACCGCAAGUUAUCUGGACGUUGUACCAUGUGGGAAAAGUAAGGAUGACAGUGAAACAGAAACGUGAUGGAAUGGCUGGACAGGGAGAACACUCUAAAACAGGAACCGAAACCGUGACAGAGAGGGAUCACAAUCACACAAGUGGAAGCAGAUGUCACGUUGGAAUUAAAGACUUUUGCAGUGCUGUGAUGAUCGCUCCAGGUGCGUGCCCACUGUGAACCUUCCGCUGCAACCGCUGUGGGUGUGCUUGCGAGAAAUAACAGGUACGGGUCUAACAAGUUGAGCAGAUAAUUAUGUAGAUAAAUCAGUGCUUAUGGUGAAUUUAAUAACACCUAACCCAUAGAUUCUGUAUCCUAAUUGGUCUAGAGACAGUCUCAACCAAACCAUGCAUUCCAAAAUCCUAGCGCUACAGAGCUGUGUUCAAAUAUUUUGAGAAAAGGUAGUUUGGAAAAGUGUGAAUAAUCUUUGAACAAAUUUCUUUUAUUCAAAUGACGUACCUUUUAUACGAAAAUGAAAAUGUCACAGUCACACUUCCACAUGGAUUAAUCUACAUUCGGGACCAACCCUACAAAAACAUCAUCUGACACACUAGUAUACUACAUAAGUUUCUCCUACUAGAAAUAGUAUUAAAAACAUUUGAUACAAUAACUUCACCAACUUGUUUUGAAAUGAGUUUUCCUCUUUCACAUGUGGACAAGAGAGGGCGCUAUGGCAACUACAUGUACAAGCAAUCAUGCACUAGGCAUGAUGCACUCUUAAUGUAUGCAAGUGUAUAUGUGUAUGCCUAAAACCUGGCAUUCAAUAAUCCUUUUCAAUGUGGAUGACGAACAUUAAAAGCAACACAUUUUGUGCACAACAUUAAUCUGUUUCAUUUUAUUAUACACUCCAAUUCAAACCAUGCUGUUUUUACACAGCAUUGCAGAUUUGGGGUAAAGAUAUUUAUAAACCUUAAAUUGUAAAGCUAGUCCCCAGAAAAAUUCCUUCCCAAAACACCAGUUUUGUCUUGGAUUGAGAUUAUGUAUAUACAAAAAACCACCUAGUACUGGCCAAUGAGAAUCAGGAUUUGAAGUUCAUUCAUCCAACAUUGACCAAUCAUGUUCAUUUUUCCGCCUAAAGAAACUGGUGCCCAUUUAAAGACAAUUAAGAAUUUUUUUCUUCUUUCAAAGUUUGAAAGUUUAUUCAUUUGCAAAAUAUUUCUUUGUACUACGUGUUUCUCUGUGACUUGAUAAACAGACCCUUGAGAAGUAUUCUCAAGAAAAUUAUAUUUAUUUCUGACUGGUUUACUCCCCCCCACAGGUUUAUGUAUAAAAUGUAUCGCUUUUUUGUCAUCCAAACCCCAAGAAAAACAUUUUAAAAAAAAAAAAUUUAAAUGUGUGCUUCAACGCGCGAGUUAUAGGUAACUGUAAUGCCAAGCAAAAGAUAUUCAGAAUAAGGAGAGAAUAGCUAUGGUCAUACAUGUAUAAAGAAUUAAAUUCAAAAUUCAGCUGACCACAAUGUGUGACUUGAAUCAAGAUAUAAACAAUUCGCUCUUGGAAUUAAGUCUCAAACCCUAUUAAAAAAUUUAAAUAAUCUACUUGCUUAUAAUCAUCAGUCAAUGGAGGGUUGAAAGAGAACAACUGUUUUGGUAUCAUGGUCAACUCUUUUCAGGUUUAGUUUUGCUGCUUUACACGUCCCUUCCUGUGAAAACAAACUCUUUUGCAAUGUAAGUACUCCAAUUUUACCAUUAGUUCAGUUUCCAUCUGAACUUCCUUUUCAGUGCUUAAACAGCUUCCUUUCACCAAAAAAAAGCAGAAAAAGCCAACUGUCUUUCUGGUCUCUUUCACAUUUUCCCAGGAUACAAAUAAAUACAUAAUUCAUUUCACACUGUGUGUGUGUUUUGAGGCAUUGUUCUGUAAAGGAAAGCUGCACAGGGUUAUAAUCAAGAUUUGUGAUUAACCAAGGGAAGACAAUCACCGACCAGCGCUACAGCCAUAUCCAGCAGGGAAAAGCCCACAGAAAAGAAGGGAGAUAUUCUAAGAGAGGGUUGAUCGGCUAAACGGCAGUUGUUGAUAGACAGCCCCUGCAUGGAGGCAUACAUCAACACCUCGCAAGUGCAAUCCAAUUGUCCCAUAAGCUCCUCACAGCAAAUUAUGUCUGGUGCCUGGACUCGCAGGGCGAGACGUGAAAGUCAUUUGAAUACUCAGAGCUUCAAUGUCUUGUCAAAAUGUACUUGGACAAAUUCCCUGCUCAAGAAAAAAAUCAAAGGAUUGUGUAAUUUGCAUUGAGUAGCUCAAGCAUGCUACAUGAUUCAUAUUAAUGAGUGGAAUAACAAGCCAUUUUCACAACAUCCCUCCCAUUUGAAUAAAGAAAUCAUCCUAGUUUGCCAGUGGGAAGGAUAUUUACACUUAAUUUCUAAUACAAUCAAAUAUUUGUGAAAUAACGACAGAAAUUUAACGCAAUGAAGUAUUUGUUAAAUAAGGUAUCUUUUAAAAUGCAGCUCUUCCAGUCAACAAAGACACCCUGACAGAAAGUUUCCUUCACCUGACACCUUGGUUUUGGGCACAAGACAAUUCAGUGAAUUAAGUAUUGCACACUGAGUAAGGUUUUUUCAUUUUUUGAAAAUUGUUCUUCGGAACACAAAUGUUCAACAGCAAUACCUCUCUUUCCUUUGUCCAAAGUGAAGUUUAAUUUUCUAAUUUAACACAUAAAUGCACUUCAUUCCUGUAGUAAAGCUGCAUAUACCCAUAGGUCAAAGUUCUAUUUUUCUCCAAGCAGAAAUGCUGAAUGAAGUUCCUUCAGGUAUAAAGGAGUGGCAUUUUUUCAGAUAAACUCUGUGACAGGCUGCAGAAAAAAAAAACUACUGGUGGCUGGGGGGAAGAUAAUGCAAUGAUCAAGUUUAAGUCAAGGCAGGCAGAAUUGAAAUGAUAAUAGGAUCGUCCCUUCUGCAAGGAAUUUCAUUAAACAAUCUCUACAGAAUCAUCAAUCCGAGUUGAUCCUAUAACGACACUGACACUAACAGAGAGUUGGGCACAGGCAGCGAAGGAAAUUUCGGUCAGGUCAUUCCUCUUUUCCAAUCUGAAUUUGUUUUUCUUUUCUGUUUUUUUUUUUCCAAGAGAAAACUGAACACAGCACGGGAACAUCUUGGUUCAAAGAAUUUAUAAAAUGACGCUACUUUUGGCAAAGGGUCAUUAUUUAUCCGCUUGUGGUUUCAACACACUGUGGCCAUGUGUAUACAUGCAAGUGCACUUGUAAGCAUACACACUGUAUUUGUACUUCUGAAGAGAAAUAGCCAAUGAAUUUAGAAUACCGUGCUAGACAUAUGUAAAAAUCAUCAGAUUCUUAUUGCAGGAGAUCUUUUGUCCUCAAACAUGAAUGUAAAACAGGUGCAAAAUGCAAUCAUCGUGGCCACAGCCAAGAUGUCUGGAAGCAUCAGAUGAGCAAGGGAAACCAACACAGGCAUUACUUCCUGGUGACUCUCAUUUCAGAGACCCCAGUCCAAGUCAUAAUUCACACUGACAGAGAGAAUUUUCCCCUCACCACGGCUGCUGACCAAAAGGGAGAGGCAAAGAGAAGGGGAGAAGAUAAAAAAUACACAGUUAUUUAUUUAUAUUUCUAGCAGGAAUAAAGAGCGUGGACCACGAGAGAGACGGAGGAGUGUACAUCCAGGCAGCCAACAUCGUCGUUUCCUACUCCUUUCCACUCUCCCCCCCCCAACCCUCCAGGCAGGAAUCACAAAUGUACAGGGAGAGGUUAGGGAGGUAGAGGACAUUUUCCUGCCGACGUAAGCGCAGAUACCAUGGCGACACAAGAUUCCUUGAGAUUCAGGGAAUGCUGCAGCUCAUGGCCGACAUCAGGCAUCAUCUCAUCCGUCUAUCCGUCUUCACUCAAAUUGUGUCAGGGACACUUUGCUUAGAACAUGGGACGGCCUUGAUCCAACUGAAGGAUUCCAGUGGAAAAACAAUGUUAAAUCUGCAGUCAACUGCAACAUGUACACCAAUAUUGCCUUGACCAUACUUCUCAUAAAUGACACAGGCAGAAAUACAAUCCUUCGUCCUCUGUAAAUGAGAUUUCAAAACAAUAACUUGUGUUGAGAAAGUUAGUGGUACAUUUUUAUGUCAGCUCACUUGAUAGAGUGGGUCAAUGAGUAUAAGGAAAGCAUACAGAUAUUUGUCUCUGAUAAGCACGAUGUCGGGAAAACCUCUUUCAACUGGACGUUCAAACAGUGGGGCCAUCCAGUAGCCAUCCCCACAACAGAACCAAUAUCUUAGGGAGUAACCAACUCCUUGAAUAUCAAGUAAUGCUAGGUUUGACAAAGAAGAUGAGAUGAAAAUGCCAAGAACAUUUUAUUACCCCAUACCCUUCUCUGAUUUAAAAGUGCCACACGAGCAAAACGAGGUACUGCCUCACAAGUUUAAAUAAGAACCUUAUUCAUAAAAUCCCACCAACAGUGCAAUGACCUUUCAAAUGACAAGUUCCUGACUGGCAAAGCCAGCAAAGUGCAAUUUCUCCAAUAAUCUCUCAAGAUCACAUUCUAGAAACGUCACAAACUACUACUGUCACACCAGGCAAUAAAUGGGAUUCAUCCUCGACCAGGCCCGAUCCAUAGGGUGCCAAGGGUAGGCGGAUUCAAGUUUUCUCUUUGGAAUUUGGGAAGGUCCACCCCAGGGAAAAUAACAAUCAGAGGAUCUUACCACAGAAACACACGGCUGCGCUGGGACAGGUACUGUAGCUUCCGACAGUGUUGACCCUGAAACUCGGACAUGGCUCUUCCAUGACCCAGUGGCCAGAUACUGACUUGGGUCAAGUGCGACUGAAGUCAUAUCCAACAAUGUAGCCUCAGCAAUAACCUGACAAGGACAGCUUAUCUUAAAGGCACACUUCCGCGGCAGGGUUCAUAUUAACAUCUCUGAAGUUUUGCCUUUCCUGUUGCAAAGUCUGAAUUAGGCCUACAUGUAAUUUAAACUUAUUUAUUCGUGGUUUUUAUAGAGAGAGAUACCAGUAUGCAUUAAUUCAAUGGCUACUGGGCAUUUUCUCCAUCAAAAAAGAAGUCACAAAAAGGUUAAAUAAAACACGCACUGGUUGUUUGUUUUUUGUUUGUUGGGGGUGUCAGGGUAUUUGUUUACUUCUUACUUUGAGCGAAGGAAGCAGCCUGUGCUUCGACAUGUUUCCUUUUGUUUCCAUUAUCUCUCUCAUUUCAUUUCAUUUUCUUUCCCCUUUUUUUCUUUUUCUAAUCGAGACAGAAAAGAGAAUGAGACAGCUUUAAGCAGAACUUCCUGUUGGAGGAAUGGUUUCAAUCAAGGGCCAGCUUCCUCACUUCAAGGUGUGUGGUGGAGAUACCUGCUGGAACAUACAGCAGUCAGCAUUCCCAGGUGAGCCACUGCCUCUUGCAGCUUGAGAGUGUUCCGUGAUAUUCAACCAGUAGCCAACCUCCUUCAUCCUCACUUCAUC